AAAAAAAAAAAAAAAAAAAAAACAGCCGGAUGUGGUGGUGUGUGGCCGGGUGUGGUGGCGUGUGGCCGGGCGUGGUGGCAUGUGGCCGGGCGUGGUGGCAUGUGGCCGGGCGUGGUGGCAUGUGGCCGGGCGUGGUGGCGUGUGGCCGGGUGUGGUGGCGUGUAGCCAGGUUUGGUGGUGUGUAGCCGGGUAUGGUGGUGCACACGUGUGGUCCUAGCUACUCUGGAGACUGAAGCAGGAGAAUCACUUUAGCCUGGGAGGUCGAAGCUGCAAUGAGUCUCAUUCAUAGAUAGAUAGAUGGAUGGAUGGAUGGACGGACGGACAGAUAGAUAUACACAGGGAUAUAUACAUAGAGUUUCAUAGAUAGAUGACAGAUAGACAGACAAAAAGCAAAAAGAAUCUGGGAAAUGGGGUAAGAGACGGAGUCUCAACUCAACUGCCUUUUGCAGUAAGAUGCACACUGAGGCUGAGGCCAUUUUCCCCUCAUGGAAAUGUCCAGUUGACAGAAACGGAAAGGUGGCCUGCAGUGAGACCGAGAAGAGGGGAGCCAACAUGGAGCUGAAGCAGGACAGAGAGAGGGGCCCCUCCCUCUAGCAUUUGUGCUCCAUUCAGCCCCUCCAGGGGCCUGAGCGUUGAAAUCUUCCUCAGCUUCUAUGAGAUACUCCAGGGCCUUGGCAGUAAAGUUCCCUUUUUGUCCAGCCUCUGCUGUUUGCAACCAGCCCCAGUGAGCCGCAAGUCCUAGCUGGCCUGAUUAAUAUCAUGUCCACUUUCCCACCACCCUUCCAUCCAGCAAAACCACCUCACGCCACGCUGAGCUGACUGAGAAUACCUGGGAGUAUUCAAAUCAGUGGCCGGGGGAGAACAAAGGUUUCGGUGGCAGAGGGACCCAGGUCCGGGUCCAUCUAGCACAGUGACCUUGAAUAAACCUCCCGAAGCGUAAUCUCCUCCAUCUGGGCUGCUGCCGAUACCUCCUCAAAUCCACUCCCGGCCCUCCCUGGUCUCUUCUCCUCACUAUCCCCACAGUGAGCUCCCCAAAAUGUCAGCCCUUGCCAGGUAACGCGCAUUUAAAAAAGAAAUAAAUAAAAAUAAAAAACAAAGCAUCAGCCCUGUCACGGAACUGCCAGCCUGAAACUGCCCCAGUGGCUUCCUACUGUUCUGAUGAUACAAGCGAAAUCCUCCCCCCAGGGGCCUGAGGUUUCCUUUCCACGCCGCGCGCUUUCCCCUGGGGGCCAGGAACCCUGAUUCUUCUGCCUGGGAAAUGCUUCCCCCAACUCUUUCCCCACAACCCCUUUUGCCUAAUUAACUCUUUAAAAUUCAUUUUGUCAACAUCAUUAUUGAGAUAGAAUUCACAAACCACAAAAUGUACCUUUUCAAAGUUUACAAUUCGGUGGUUUUUUGGUACAGUCACAGGGUUGUGCCACCAUUACCGCUACCUAAUUCUAGAACAUUUUCAUCACUCCACAAAGAAACCCAUCAGCAGCCGGGCACAGUGGCUCACGCCUGUAAUCCCAGCACUUCAGGAGGCCGAGGCGGAAGGAUCACCUGAGGUCAGGAGUUCGAGACCAGCCUGGCCAAUAUGGUGAAACCCUGUCUCUACUAAAAGUACAAAAAAUUAGCCAGGCACGGUGGCGGUCACCUGUAAUCCCAGCUACUCGGGAGGCUGAGGCAGGAGAAAGGCGUGAACCCGGGAGGUGGAGCUUGCAGUGAGCCGAGAUUGCGCCACUGCGCUCAGCCUGGGUGACAGAGCGAGAUGCCAUCUCAAAAAAAGAAAGAAAGAAGCCCAUUAGCAGCCACUCCCUCCCAUUCCUCCCUUCUCCACAGUCCCCAGAAGUCACGAAUCUGCUUUCUGUCUUAUUAAUUUGCAUAAUCUGGACAUUUCAUAUAAACAGAAUCAUAUAAUAAGUGGUAUUUUUAUUCACGAUUUCAUUUUUCAGCUCUAAUCUCUAUUAUUUCUUUCCUUUUGCUUGCUUUGGGUUUAGUUUGCUGUUCUUUUUCUAGUUUCUUAAGGUGGAAGAUUAUUUAUUUGAAGUUUUUCUUCUUUUUUAACAGAGGUUCUUACAGCUAUACAUUUUAUAGGUUUUGAUAGGUUAUAUUUUCAUUUUCAUUCAUCUCAACCUACUUUCUAAUUUCUCUGUGAUUUCUUCUUCUUCUUUUUAGAGACAGGGUCUUGCUAUAUUGUCCAGGCUGGUCUCAAACUCCCGGACUCAAGCAGCCCUCCUACCUUGGCCUCCCAAAGUGUUGAGAUUACAGGCAUGAGCCACCGCACCUGGCCUAAUUUCUUCUUUGACCCAUUGGUGUUUGUUUGUUUGUGUUUGUUUGUUUUGAGACAGAGUCUCACUCUUGUUGCCCAGGCUGGAGUGCAAUGCUGUGAUCUCAGCUCACUGCAACCUCUGCCUCCUGAGUUCAAGCGAUUCUCCUGCCUCAGCCUCCUGAGUAGCUAGGAUUACAGGCGCCUGCCACCACACCAGCUAAUUUUUUGUAUUUUUAAUACAGACGGGAUUUCACAAUGCUGGCCAGGCUGGUUUCGAACUCCUGACCUCAGGUGAUCCACCUGCCUCGGCAUCCCAAAGUGCUGGGAUUGCAGGCGUGAGCCACCAUGCCCAGCCAACCCAUUGGUUAUUUAGGAGUGUGUUCACUUUGGACAUUUGUGAAUUCCCAAAUUUCCUUUAUUGAUAUCUAACUUCAUUCUACUACAGUUAGAGAACGUACUUUGUAUGACUUGAAUCCUUUUAAAUUUAUUAAGGCCAGGUGCGGUGGUUCAUGCCUGUAAUCCUAACACUUUGAGAGGCCGAGGCAGGCGGAUCGCUUGAGGCCAGGAGUUUGAGACCAGCCUGGCCAACAUAGCAAAACCCCAUCUCCUCCAAAAAUACAAAACUUAGCUGAGCCUGGUGGUGCAAACCUGUAAUCCCAGCUACUCAGGAGGCUGAGGCAUGAGAAUCACUUGCACCCAGGAGGCGGAGGUUGCCAAGAUUGCACCGCUGCACUCCAGUCUGGGUAACAGAGAGAGACUUCAUCUUAACAAAAAUCAGUCAGGCGUGAAGGCACGUAUCUGCCGUCUCAGCUACUUCUGGGAACUGAGGUGGGGGACUACCAGAGCCUGGGGGGUUGAGGCUGCAGUGAGCCGUGAUCAUGCCACUGCACUCCAGCCUGGGAAACAGAGCAAGACCAGAAAAAUUACCGAGUCUUGUUUUACGGCCUAACAUAUGGCCUCUCCCAGAGAACACCUCCCGGGCACGUGAGAAGAACGUGCGUCCUGUGGUUGCUGGGUGGCGUGUUCUGCAGAUGUCUGUCCUGCCGGGCACGUGAGAAGAACGUGCAUCCUGCAGUUGCUGGGUGGAGAGUUCUGCAGAUGUCUGUCCUCCCGGGCACUUGAGAAGAACGUGCAUCCUGCGGUUGCUGGGUGGAGAGUUCUGCAGAUGUCUGUCCUCCCAGGCACUUGAGAAGAACGUGCAUGCUGUGGUUGCUGGGUGGAGAGUUCUGCAGAUGUCUGUCCUCCCAGGCACUUGAGAAGAACGUGCAUGCUGUGGUUGCUGGGUGGAGAGUUCUGCAGAUGUCUGUCCUCCCAGGCAUGUGAGAAGAACGUGCAUCCUGCAGCUGCUGGGUGGCAUGUUCUGCAGGUGUCUGUCCUCCCAGGCAUGUGAGAAGAACGUGAAUGCUGCGGUUGCUGGGUGGAGAGUUCUGCAGAUAUCUGUCCUCCCGGGCACGUGAAAAGAACCUGCAUCCUGCGAUUGCUGGGUGGCGUGUUCUGCAGAUGCCUGUCCUCCCGGGCACGUGAGAAGAACGUGCGUCCUGCGGUUGCUGGGUGGAGAGUUCUGCAGAUGUCUGUCCUCCCGGGCACGUGAAAAGAACCUGCAUCCUGCGAUUGCUGGGUGGCAUGUUCUGCAGAUGCCUGUCCUCCCGGGCACGUGAGAAGAACGUGCGUCCUGCGGUUGCUGGGUGGAGAGUUCUGCAGAUGUCUGUCCUCCCGGGCAUGUGAGAAUGUGCAUGCUGCGGUUGCUGGGUGGAGAGUUCUGCAGAUGUCUGUCUUCCCGGGCACGUGAAAAGAACCUGCAUCCUGCGAUUGCUGGGUGGCGUGUUCUGCAGAUGUCUGUCCUCCCAGGCACAUGAAAAGAACGUGCAUCCUGCGGUUGCUGGGUGGCGUGUUCUGCAGAUGCCUGUCCUCCCGGGCACGUGAGAAGAACCUGCAUCCUGCGGUUGCUGGGUGGAGAGUUCUGCAGAUGUCUGUUAGGUCCAGUUGAUUUACAGUGUUUUCAAGUCUAUCUCAUUGUUGGUUCUCUGCCUACUCAUUCUAUCCAUUAUUGAAAGUGGGACCUUGAAGCUUCCAACGAUUAUUGUUGGAUUUUGUAUUUCUCCCUUCAUUUCUGUUGGUUUUGGUUCAUGUAUUUUGGGGGUCUCUUGUUAGGUGCAUACAGCUUUAUAAUUAUUAGGCUUUCCUGAUAGGUUGACUCCUUUGUCAUUAUAAAAUGUCCCUGUUUGUCCCUAGUAACAAUUUUUGCCUUAAAGCCUAUUUUGUCUGCUACUUGUGGAGCCACUUCACCACUCUUUCGGUUACUGCUUGAACGGAAUAUCUUUUUCUGUCCUUUUACUUUACACACAUUUGUGUCUUUGAAUCUAAAGUGUGUCUCUUGUAAAUCCGUUCUGCCAUGCUCUUUUUAUUGGAGAAUUUAGUUCAUUUGUAUUUAAUGUAAUUACAGAUAAGAUAGGAUUUAUGCCAUUUUGCUAGUUGCUUUCCAUAUGUCUUGUCUUUUUAUUCCUAUAUUUUCCCAUUUCUGCCUUCUUUUGUGUUGAAUACGUAUUUUCUAGCAUAACCCUUAAUGCUCCUCUUCCAUUUUUUAAAGUUAUUUUCUUAAUGGUUGCCUUGGAGACUACAAUUAACAUUUUAAUUUAAAACAAUCUAACCUGGACUAAUACUGACCUAAUUGCAAUAGUACACAAAACCUUUGCUCCAACAUCGCUCUGUCCCCUCCACUCCUUUGUGCUAUUAUUGUUAUACAAAUUAUAUCUUGGUGCAUUAUAAGCCCAUCAACAAAGUUUUAACAAGCAUUGCUUUCCGCAGUUAUCUUUUCAAUCAGACAGAAGAAUUACUAGCAGAAUAUACUCACCCCUUUAGAUGCUCCUUGUAUCGUCAUAUGGAUUUCAGUCACCGCCUAGUGCCCUUUCAUGUCGGCCUGAAGGAUUCUCUUUAGGAUUUCUUAUAGGCCAUGCCUGCCAGUGACAAAUUCUCUCUGUUUUUAUUAUAUUAAUCUAGGAUGUCUUAAUUUCUCCUUUUUUUUUUUUGAGACGCAGUCUCGCUCUGUCGCCCAGGCUGGAGUGCAGUGGUGCGAUCUCGGCUCACUGCAAGCUCCGCCUCCUGGGUUCACACGAUUCUCCUGCCUCAGCCUCCUGAGCAGCUGGGACUACAGGCGCCCGCCACCACACCCGGCUAAUUUUUUUUUGUAUUUUUAGUAGAGACGGGGUUUCACCAUGUUUGCCAGGAUGGUCUUGAUCUCCUGACCUCGUGAUCCCCCGGCCUGGGCCUCCCAAAGUGCUGGGAUUACAGGCAUGAGCCACCACACCCGGCCUCUUUUGAAGGAUAGUUUUUUGUGGAUAUAGAAUUCUUUAAAGAAUUUUUUAAAUUCUUUCAGCACUUUGGCUGUGCCACCCACUGCCUCCUGCUUUCCAGGGCUUCAGAUGAGAAGUCAGCUGUGCUAUUAAUCUUCAUGAGUGUUCCCUGCCUCAUUAACACUCACCUUCAAUUCUGAAUUCAACCGUAUCUUCCUCCCUGGCCCAGGCCAGGCCCUUUGAUACCGGCACCUCGUUCCUCCAUAAUUCCCCUUUGUAGUGAUUAUCACAGUUGUAAUUAAACAAUUAAUGAUGGACAGAGCUCUUUCCUGUAUUUUCCCAUCACUAGAAUGUAAGUUCCAUAAGGCAAGAAGAACCAGGCCUGCCUUGUUCACCAUUCUGUUGCCCGAAGCUGCUCAACGCCUGGCACACUAUGAACUCUCAAUAAAUAUUUACUGAGCGAACGACUGACACUCAUCCUAGAGUAGGCUACAUGACUGGUCUCAGCUUCUCACUCCCUGCAGUGGUGUAAACAGCCACACCAUGCCAGGGCCUACAAGUAGGCAGUGUACAUCCCUGCCCUGUGUUGAGGUUGGCUGUGAGCCUUGUGUUAGCUAAUGGGAUGUUAGUGAAUAUGAUGUGAAAAAAGGCUGGAAAUGUACAUGUACGAUUGAGCUGGUCCUCACUGUGCUCCUCCUGUCACCAUGAGACAGAACAGGCCUUGGGUGGUCUCUGUGCUCCUCCCGUCACCAUGAGACAGAACAGGCCUUGGGUGGUCUCUUGUGCUCCUCCCGUCACCAUGAGACAGAACAGGCCUUGGGUGGUCUCUUGUGCUCCUCCCGUCACCAUGAGACAGAACAGGCCUUGGGUGGUCUCUUGUGCUCCUCCCGUCACCAUGAGACAGAACAGGCCUUGGGUGGUCUCUUGUGCUCCUCCUGUCACCAUGAGACAGAACAGGCCUUGGGUGGUCUCUUGUGCUCCUCCCGUCACCAUGAGACAGAACAGGCCUUGGGUGGUCUCUGGUCCAAAUGGGAUCAGAGACACAUGGAACAGACCUAAACCCACUUGGAGCUUGAAGUCAGCCAAGUCCUCCUGCGGGCAGCCUAGGUCAGCCAAACCUCACCCAACUCCGAGCUACGUGAGAGGGAAAUAAAUGCUCACUGUCAUAUGCCAGUGGGUUUGGGGCAGCUUGUUGCAUCCCAAUAUGGUGGCAAUCGAUGGCUAAGACAUAUGCCCCUGUGAGUCUGAAGGCUGGGAGUGAGUGCUGGCGAAGGUCUUCAUGUGGCCCACAAUUGGGUCCAGAUGAGUUCCAUAGGCAGAUCCACCAGCCUCCUCUGUACUUACAGAAUAAAGUUCCCAGAAUCCUACAGUCCCGCAACUCAUCUCUGGUGCCAGCAGCUCCUGGAGUAGCCCAGAGUGUACUAAGCGCGGAGUACCAUGCCAGGCACACAGUAGGCGCUUUGCUGAGUUAGGCUUUGUCCUUCUCCACCUUCCCCCUCACCAAUUCCACCACUGGGCCUGAGUUCAUCUGCACAGAUGAAAAUCUGCAGUUCUUCCUCCGUUGUGGGGCUGGACUGGCGGGGGCAGGGGGAGGCACCCUCACCUGUCCCAGGAGCUAACCCUGCUUACUGCCUCAAUGACACCCAGACUCAAGUGACGAGGCGAGCCUGGGCCCUGGACACCAGGUCUGUGCAAAGUGAGGUCACCCCGCAGGUGAGUCCUGGCUGCCCCCUUGGCCUGUCCUUUCUACUCUGACUUGGAGCAUGACCCUGAUGGAAAUUUUCAGUUCCGUAAAGGAAAUUUUGAUUCGAUAUAGGGCCUUUUUACUCCCAAGUUUCCCCCUUUGCUAAAUUAGUUCCCAAUCCCUCUGCCAAGGGUGACUCUGUUCACCCUCUGAUGCUGAAACCUGAAGAGGGGUUUGUGAGGAGUCUGAGGCCAGCCCAGCCCUCACGGUGCUUCUGUGCAGGAUCAGAAGAGGUGCCCCUCAUGGCGGCACUUGUCUUCCACCUGGUUAAAAAGCACCAUAAUAAACCAAUAAUGUUAAUUCCAUUCAUUAGAAAGUUACCAACAAACCACACAAAAAGCUCCUUCUAGGCAGACCCACCACAUCCAGAACUACCUGCAGCUCUCGCCGAGCAAGACGCUCAAAGCAGUUACCUCCUCAGCAGUAUCCCCACGAUAGACCGCUGUGGUCUGAAUGUUUGCGACCCGCGAAAGCUCCCGUAUUGAAACCCUAACACCCCAAGGCAUGAGGAGGCGGGGCCUUUAGGAGGUGAUUAGGUCGUAUGGGCAAGGUCCUCAUAAAUGGGAUUAGUGUUCUUGUAAAAGGGGCUUUUCUACCCCUUAAGAUUAAGGUGUUAUAAAACCCAAAGGGAGGGACUCAAACCACUGUUGCCAAAUGAUGACUGAGACAGUGUUAGAUCUAACUUGACCGACUCCGUCUUGCUCCUAACCUCCAAGCUGCCCUUGUUCAUUCCUGGGCGUAGGCUGAACUAACUUUAGGAGAAACUUAGUUUAUAGUUUAUAGUUUAAACAAAGACGGUAACAGCCCUUUCCCAAAGCAGACCUCCUUCUUCCCCGGGGACUAGUCUGCCUUUGUAGGACUAACUUUAGCCCCAAGAUUAGAAAUUAUGGUUUAGCAGUCAUGCAGCUGGAGGCUACAAGAUUCUGACCCUCCCUAGCUGCUCCUAAGAUCAGCGCUUGAGAUAUUUUGGAAACCCUGCACUUGAUGGAUCAGCUGGCACCACCCAGAUCAAUAAACUGGCUCAUCUGAUCUUGAGGUCCCCACCCAGGAACUGACCGAGCACAAGAAGACAGCUUUGACUUGCUGUGAUUUCAUCUCUGACCAAUCAGCACUCCUGGCUCACUGGCUUCCCCCACCCACCACGUUAUCCUUAAAAGCUCUGAUCCCUGCAUGCUCGGGGAGACUGAUUGGAGUAAUAAUAAAACUCCGGUCUCCCACAAAAAAAUAAAUAAACAAAAGAGGCUUUUAAGGAAGCCCGUUGGCCCCUCCUGCCAUGUGAGGACACAGAAAGAAAGCACCAUCUAUGAACCAGGAAAUGGGCCCUGAGCAGACACAGAAUCUGCCCACACCUUGAUCUUGAACUUCCCAGCUUCCAAACCGUCAGAAAUAAAUGUCUGUUGUCUAUAA
rnacentral:lncRNA from 10 species